CCUGAAUCAGUGUGUGUGUUAGUGGAAGCGUCUGGAAAGGCGCGCGAUACAGGGUGACAGCCCCGUACACAAAAAUGCACAUGCUGUGAGCUCGAUGAGUAGGGCGGGACACGUGGUAUCCUGUCUGAAUAUGGGGGGACCAUCCUCCAAGGCUAAAUACUCCUGACUGACCGAUAGUGAACCAGUACCGUGAGGGAAAGGCGAAAAGAACCCCGGCGAGGGGAGUGAAAAAGAACCUGAAACCGUGUACGUACAAGCAGUGGGAGCACGCUUAGGCGUGUGACUGCGUACCUUUUGUAUAAUGGGUCAGCGACUUAUAUUCUGUAGCAAGGUUAACCGAAUAGGGGAGCCGAAGGGAAACCGAGUCUUAACUGGGCGUUAAGUUGCAGGGUAUAGACCCGAAACCCGGUGAUCUAGCCAUGGGCAGGUUGAAGGUUGGGUAACACUAACUGGAGGACCGAACCGACUAAUGUUGAAAAAUUAGCGGAUGACUUGUGGCUGGGGGUGAAAGGCCAAUCAAACCGGGAGAUAGCUGGUUCUCCCCGAAAGCUAUUUAGGUAGCGCCUCGUGAAUUCAUCUCCGGGGGUAGAGCACUGUUUCGGCAAGGGGGUCAUCCCGACUUACCAACCCGAUGCAAACUGCGAAUACCGGAGAAUGUUAUCACGGGAGACACACGGCGGGUGCUAACGUCCGUCGUGAAGAGGGAAACAACCCAGACCGCCAGCUAAGGUCCCAAAGUCAUGGUUAAGUGGGAAACGAUGUGGGAAGGCCCAGACAGCCAGGAUGUUGGCUUAGAAGCAGCCAUCAUUUAAAGAAAGCGUAAUAGCUCACUGGUCGAGUCGGCCUGCGCGGAAGAUGUAACGGGGCUAAACCAUGCACCGAAGCUGCGGCAGCGACGCUUAUGCGUUGUUGGGUAGGGGAGCGUUCUGUAAGCCUGUGAAGGUGUGCUGUGAGGCAUGCUGGAGGUAUCAGAAGUGCGAAUGCUGACAUAAGUAACGAUAAAGCGGGUGAAAAGCCCGCUCGCCGGAAGACCAAGGGUUCCUGUCCAACGUUAAUCGGGGCAGGGUGAGUCGACCCCUAAGGCGAGGCCGAAAGGCGUAGUCGAUGGGAAACAGGUUAAUAUUCCUGUACUUGGUGUUACUGCGAAGGGGGGACGGAGAAGGCUAUGUUGGCCGGGCGACGGUUGUCCCGGUUUAAGCGUGUAGGCUGGUUUUCCAGGCAAAUCCGGAAAAUCAAGGCUGAGGCGUGAUGACGAGGCACUACGGUGCUGAAGCAACAAAUGCCCUGCUUCCAGGAAAAGCCUCUAAGCAUCAGGUAACAUCAAAUCGUACCCCAAACCGACACAGGUGGUCAGGUAGAGAAUACCAAGGCGCUUGAGAGAACUCGGGUGAAGGAACUAGGCAAAAUGGUGCCGUAACUUCGGGAGAAGGCACGCUGAUAUGUAGGUGAAGUCCCUCGCGGAUGGAGCUGAAAUCAGUCGAAGAUACCAGCUGGCUGCAACUGUUUAUUAAAAACACAGCACUGUGCAAACACGAAAGUGGACGUAUACGGUGUGACGCCUGCCCGGUGCCGGAAGGUUAAUUGAUGGGGUUAGCCGCAAGGCGAAGCUCUUGAUCGAAGCCCCGGUAAACGGCGGCCGUAACUAUAACGGUCCUAAGGUAGCGAAAUUCCUUGUCGGGUAAGUUCCGACCUGCACGAAUGGCGUAAUGAUGGCCAGGCUGUCUCCACCCGAGACUCAGUGAAAUUGAACUCGCUGUGAAGAUGCAGUGUACCCGCGGCAAGACGGAAAGACCCCGUGAACCUUUACUAUAGCUUGACACUGAACAUUGAGCCUUGAUGUGUAGGAUAGGUGGGAGGCUUAGAAGUGUGGACGCCAGUCUGCAUGGAGCCGACCUUGAAAUACCACCCUUUAAUGUUUGAUGUUCUAACGUUGACCCGUAAUCCGGGUUGCGGACAGUGUCUGGUGGGUAGUUUGACUGGGGCGGUCUCCUCCUAAAGAGUAACGGAGGAGCACGAAGGUUGGCUAAUCCUGGUCGGACAUCAGGAGGUUAGUGCAAUGGCAUAAGCCAGCUUGACUGCGAGCGUGACGGCGCGAGCAGGUGCGAAAGCAGGUCAUAGUGAUCCGGUGGUUCUGAAUGGAAGGGCCAUCGCUCAACGGAUAAAAGGUACUCCGGGGAUAACAGGCUGAUACCGCCCAAGAGUUCAUAUCGACGGCGGUGUUUGGCACCUCGAUGUCGGCUCAUCACAUCCUGGGGCUGAAGUAGGUCCCAAGGGUAUGGCUGUUCGCCAUUUAAAGUGGUACGCGAGCUGGGUUUAGAACGUCGUGAGACAGUUCGGUCCCUAUCUGCCGUGGGCGCUGGAGAACUGAGGGGGGCUGCUCCUAGUACGAGAGGACCG
rnacentral:rRNA from 1 species